AACGGCCGUACCAGGUUGACUACACCGGUUACCGUUAGAUCACCGCAGUUAAAUAAUCUUGGGCGUGGUUAGUAUACUUCCAUGGAUGACCGCUUGGGAACACCACGUGCUGUUA
rnacentral:rRNA from 1 species